rnacentral:rRNA from 1 species
GCAGCAGGCGCGCAAAUUACCCAAUCCUCGACACGGGGAGGUAGUGACAAUAAAUACUGAUACAGGGCUCUUUUGGGUCUUGUAAUUGGAAUGAGUACAAUUUAAAUCCCUUAACGAGGAACAAUUGGAGGGCAAGUCUGGUGCCAGCAGCCGCGGUAAUUCCAGCUCCAAUAGCGUAUAUUAAAGUUGUUGCAGUUAAAAAGCUCGUAGUUGAACCUUGGGCCUGGCUGGCCGGUCCGCCUCACCGCGUGCACUGGUCCGGCCGGGCCUUUCCUUCUGGGGAGCCGCAUGCCCUUCACUGGGUGUGUCGGGGAACCAGGACUUUUACUUUGAAAAAAUUAGAGUGUUCAAAGCAGGCCUAUGCUCGAAUACUUAGCAUGGAAUAAUAGAAUAGGACGUGUGGUUCUAUUUUGUGGUUUCUAGGACCGCCGUAAUGAUUAAUAGGGAUAGUCCGGGGCAUCAGUAUUCAAUUGUCAGAGGUGAAAUUCUUGGAUUUAUUGAAGACUAACUACUGCGAAAGCAUUUGCCAAGGAUGUUUUCAUUAAUCAGUGAACGAAAGUUAGGGGAUCGAAGACGAUCAGAUACCGUCGUAGUCUUAACCAUAAACUAUGCCGACUAGGGAUCGGGCGAUGUUAUCUUUCUUGACUCGCUCGGCACCUUACGAGAAAUCAAAGUGUUUGGGUUCUGGGGGGAGUAUGGUCGCAAGGCUGAAACUUAAAGAAAUUGACGGAAGGGCACCACCAGGAGUGGAGCCUGCGGCUUAAUUUGACUCAACACGGGGAAACUCACCAGGUCCAGACACAUUAAGGAUUGACAGAUUGAGAGCUCUUUCACGAUUGUGUG